CGGGUGGCUGCAGCAGUGGGGAAUAUUGCACAAUGGAGGAAACUCUGAUGCAGCAACGCCGCGUGGAGGAUGACACUUUUCGGAGCGUAAACUCCUUUUAUAUAGGAAGAAGAUGACGGUACUAUAUGAAUAAGCGCCGGCUAACUCCGUGCCAGCAGCCGCGGUAAUACGGAGGGCGCAAGCGUUACUCGGAAUCACUGGGCGUAAAGAGCGUGUAGGCGGAUUAAAAAGUCAGAAGUGAAAUCCUAUAGCUUAACUAUAGAACUGCUUCUGAAACUCUUAAUCUAGAAUAUGGGAGAGGUAGAUGGAAUUUCUGGUGUAGGGGUAAAAUCCGUAGAGAUCAGAAGGAAUACCGAUUGCGAAGGCGAUCUACUAGAACAUUAUUGACGCUGAGACGCGAAAGCGUGGGGAGUAAACAGGAUUAGAUACCCCAGUAGUC
rnacentral:rRNA from 1 species